GCUGGGCACAGGGGCAUGUGUCUGUAGUCCCAGCUACUUGGGAGGCUGAGGUGGGAAGCUCAAUUGCUCCCACCAUAGCCCAGGUGGGAGUUCUGGGCUAUGGUGUGCUAUGCCAAUUGAGUGUCUGCACUAAGUUCGGCAUCAAUAUGGUGACCUCCCAGGAGCAAGGGAUCACCGGGUUGCCUAAGGAGGGGUGAAGGGGCCCAGGUUAGAAAUGGAGCAGGUCAAAACUCCUGUGCUGUUUGAAACUGACCACGCAGGGGAGAAAGGGGCUCUGAGAAAGAUUUGGAGAAACUCAUUUCAU
ensembl:misc_RNA Metazoa_SRP Metazoan signal recognition particle RNA